UACGGAGGAUCCAAGCGUUAUCCGGAUUCAUUGGGUUUAAAGGGUGCGUAGGCGGACUGAUAAGUCAGCGGUGAAAUCUCCUCGCUCAACGAGGAAACUGCCGUUGAUACUGUCGGUCUUGAAUGCAGAUGAUGUGGGCGGAAUAUGACAUGUAGUGGUGAAAUACUUAGAUAUGACAUAGAACACCAAUUGCGAAGGCAGCUUACUACACAGUGAUUGACACUGAGGCACGAAAGCGUGGGGAUCAAACAGG
rnacentral:rRNA from 1 species